AUCAGUGAAGCGAAUGCCCGCGGAAAGACCGGAAAAUGUGUCAAACCAGAAGAGUCUGAGUAGCGACAGUGGCUGCAGAAAGAGCGCUGAAGUUAUCUACUGUGGGAAGGACACGAGUUACCAGACGAACCAAUAAGAGCAGAAGCCCCCCAGAUGAUGAGCCGCUGCAGUCGGAUAAUGAAGUUGUAGAGAUUCAACAGAAAGCCACUGCUCCAACCAUGGAUAAGUUCCAGGAGGAUUUUAAAUUACUCAAAGAGGAAAACAGGCUUCUGAAAGAGGAGAACCGGCUUCUGAAAGAGGAGCAGGAUUUCCUUAGGGAGGAAGCUCUGAACCCAGUAAAGACCGUACCCUCAACAACUUAGAAAGGGUCCCACAAAAAGAAAGUUCUGGAUUCUUCAGACUCUUCAACAUCUGGCUCUGACUCUGACUCCUCAUCUGAAAGAGGGAAGAGGAAGAGAAAGCAGAAGAAAAACAAGAAAAACCAUGCAGCAUUUGGAAAAAGAGUUCAGAGUCCGGAGGACGUUGUGCACAGGUACCGUGCUGUCCUAAAAGAGUUUAGAUGGACAAGGAUCGUGAGCCUCAGCUGCAGAACACUGGACGUGGACUGGAACACAAUCGCAUUGACUGCUAUCAUUGCUGAAAUUGUGAUUGCUGCAGAAGGUGAAAACUUCGGGCCGCUGCCAGUGUUCAAGGAGGAGGACACUGUGAGCAAUUAUGCAAAAACCUGCAAGGCCUUCUUAGAGGGCAACAAACCUCUUAGGGAUAAAAUAAAAACAAUGAAAGAAGAUUCAGAGCUACUCCCCAUUAAAUAUAAAUUUAGAAAGUGAGAGGCCAUACUGCUGUCUUCAUUGUUAAUGGCCGGUUUUGCACUUUGUCAAAGGUUCUGUGUUUCUUUGAACCCGGUUUCUAUAGUUUCUAAUAGUUAUAUAUUUACAUGGUAAGAACGAUUUAAGUUUGUAAAUAUUUCUUUAUUUAAAUUCUUAGUGAAACCAUGUAAAAGAUGGGUUUCUUUUACAGUAUAUUUUCAGCUUACUUACUGAGUAAAAAGUGUUGUUUUACAUAGUAGCUGUAGUUACCCAAAAGGGGUGGAAAAUCUAUUGCAGAUUAUAGGGUAAGAUCCUGGUAAUAGCAUGGAAGUACAGGAAGGCUUCCUUUACAGUACAGUUUGACUUUACUUACUGAGAAUGUUUAGUGAGUUAAGUUGCAAAACACACAUGGUAAAAGUUUGUGAUUUCAUAAAUUUAUAACCAGUUGCAGAG